UAGGGAAUCUUCGGCAAUGGGGGCAACCCUGACCGAGCAACGCCGCGUGAGUGAAGAAGGUUUUCGGAUCGUAAAGCUCUGUUGUAAGAGAAGAACGUGUGUGAGAGUGGAAAGUUCACACAGUGACGGUAACUUACCAGAAAGGGACGGCUACUAAAACGUGCCAA
rnacentral:rRNA from 1 species